rnacentral:rRNA from 1 species
AGAGUUUGAUCCUGGCUCAGAGUGAACGCUGGCGACGUGCUUAACACAUGCAAGUCGAACGGUAACAGCAGAGCUUGCUCUGGCUGACGAGUGGCGGACGGGUGAGUAAUGUAUAGUUAAUCUGCCUUUUAGAGGGGGAUAGCCACUGGAAACGGUGAUUAAUACCCCAUACUCCUUCUCUAUUAAUUAGAGUUGGGAAAGUUUUUCGCUAAAAGAUGAGACUAUAUGAUAUCAGGUAGUUGGUAGGGUAAUGGCCUACCAAGCCAAUGACACCUAACUGGUCUGAGAGGAUGAUCAGUCACACUGGAACUGAGACACGGUCCAGACUCCUACGGGAGGCAGCAGUGGGGAAUAUUGCACAAUGGGGGAAACCCUGAUGCAGCAACGCCGCGUGGAGGAUGACACUUUUCGGAGCGUAAACUCCUUUUAUAUGGGAAGAUAAUGACGGUACCAUAUGAAUAAGCACCGGCUAACUCCGUGCCAGCAGCCGCGGUAAUACGGAGGGUGCAAGCGUUACUCGGAAUCACUGGGCGUAAAGCGCGCGCAGGCGGUCUGAUAAGUUGGAAGUGAAAUCCUAUGGCUUAACCAUAGAACUGCUUCCAAAACUGUUAGACUAGAGUCUGGGAGGGGAAGAUGGAAUUAGUUGUGUAGGGGUAAAAUCCGUAGAGAUAACUAGGAAUACCAAAAGCGAAGGCGAUCUUCUGGAACAGUACUGACGCUGAGGCGCGAAAGCGUGGGGAGCAAACAGGAUUAGAUACCCUGGUAGUCCACGCCCUAAACGAUGAAUGUUAGUCGUCGGAUUGCUAGUCAAUUCGGUGAUGCAGUUAACACAUUAAACACUCCGCCUGGGGAGUACGGUCGCAAGAUUAAAACUCAAAGGAAUAGACGGGGACCCGCACAAGUGGUGGAGCAUGUGGUUUAAUUCGAAGAUACGCGAAGAACCUUACCUGGCCUUGACAUUGAUAAGACACUAUAGAGAUAUGGUGGUGCCCUUUUAGGGAAUUUGAAAACAGGUGCUGCACGGCUGUCGUCAGCUCGUGUCGUGAGAU